CUAAGACACCUGGCCAGGCUCCCUACCCUUGUGGCUCCGUGUCCGGGUCCCGGAAGUGGGACUAGAGAGCUGCUGUGGUGAGUGAGGGACCAGCGCAGCACAUCAGAGCUGGGUCGCUUCCUUUGGGGAGCCGUGGCAUGAAGGGGUGCAUUUCUGCUUCCGGCCUCAGUUAGAUGCGGCCUCGCUGAGGACACAGGUCUCCUGGCUCCUGCUCAAAGACCCAAGUCAGAAGAGGCCCUGAAGACACUGAGGAUUAUUGUCUCUCAGUCCUGAUGGCCCAGGCUGGAGAGCGUCACCAUGCUUCAUGACCAAUUCCUGGAAGUCUGCAAGUGGGUGAGUGAGCUCUCUGUUCUUCACAUUUAUG
rnacentral:lncRNA from 1 species